rnacentral:rRNA from 1 species
CCCUUAGAUGUCCUGGGCCGCACGCGCGCUACAAUGACUCUUUCAGCAAGUUUUUCCUGGCCCGGAAGGGUUCAGGGUAAUCUUUAUAAAGAGAGUCGUGUUAGGGAUCGAUCUUUGCAAUUAUAGAUCUUGAACGAGGAAUACCUAGUAAGUGCAAGUCAUCAGCUUGUACUGAUUACGUCCCUGCCCUUUGUACACACCGCCCGUCGCUCCUACCGAUUUCGAGUGAUCCGGUGAACCUCUUGGACUGGACUCGUAAGGGUUCGGGAAGUUAAGUAAACCUAAUCACUUAGAGGAAGGAGAAGUCGUAACA